rnacentral:rRNA from 1 species
UGCAGUCGAGCGGCAGCGCGGGACUCGGGCAACCGAGUCCUGGCGGCGAGCGGCGAACGGGUGAGUAAUGCAUCGGAACGUGUCCCGUAAUGGGGGAUAACGCCGCGAAAGCGGCGCUAAUACCGCAUACGCUCUGAGGAGGAAAGUGGGGGACCUGCAAGGGCCUCACGUUAGGGGAGCGGCCGAUGUCCGAUUAGCUAGUUGGUGGGGUAAUGGCUUACCAAGGCUUCGAUCGGUAGCUGGUCUGAGAGGAUGAUCAGCCACACUGGGACUGAGACACGGCCCAGACUCCUACGGGAGGCAGCAGUGGGGAAUUUUGGACAAUGGGGGCAACCCUGAUCCAGCCAUGCCGCGUGCGGGAAGAAGGCCUUCGGGUUGUAAACCGCUUUUAGCCGGGAAGAAAAGGCCAUCCCUAACAGGGGUGGUUUUUGACGGUACCGGCGGAAUAAGCACCGGCUAACUACGUGCCAGCAGCCGCGGUAAUACGUAGGGUGCGAGCGUUAAUCGGAAUUACUGGGCGUAAAGCGUGCGCAGCGGUUCGUUGUGUCGGUGGUGAAAGCCCCGGCUUACCUGGGAAUGG